GGCGCUAUAGCCAAGUGGUUACGGCGACAGAUUAGAAUGGAAAUUCGUCGAUGUCGGCUAACCAUGACAUCUGUUCCUCUUUGAGGGCGCAGGUUCAAAUCCUGCUGGCGUCG